rnacentral:rRNA from 1 species
GACGAACGCUGGCGGCGUGCUUAACACAUGCAAGUCGAACGGAAAGGCCCUGCUUUUGUGGGGUGCUCGAGUGGCGAACGGGUGAGUAACACGUGAGUAACCUGCCCUUGACUUUGGGAUAACUUCAGGAAACUGGGGCUAAUACCGGAUAGGAGCUCCUGCUGCAUGGUGGGGGUUGGAAAGUUUCGGCGGUUGGGGAUGGACUCGCGGCUUAUCAGCUUGUUGGUGGGGUAGUGGCUUACCAAGGCUUUGACGGGUAGCCGGCCUGAGAGGGUGACCGGCCACAUUGGGACUGGGAUACGGCCCGGACUCCUACGGGAGGCAGCAGUGGGGAAUAUUGCACAAUGGGCGGAAGCCUGAUGCAGCAACGCCGCGUGCGGGAUGACGGCCUUCGGGUUGUAAACCGCUUUCGCCUGUGACGAAGCGUGAGUGACGGAAUGGGUAAAGAAGCACCGGCUAACUACGUG